ensembl:snoRNA
GUCCUUUCGUAGGUCAUGAGUGAAAUGAUUGGGUUGUUGUGCUCCAGUGUGAGAUGUGCUUCCCUCACACCUUGUUCCAAUGUUGACGCAUUACCCAUCUGACA